rnacentral:rRNA from 1 species
CAGUAGCCGCGGUAAUACGAAGGGGGCUAGCGUUGUUAGGAUUUACUGGGCGUAAAGCGCACGUAGGCGGACUUUUAAGUCAGGGGUGAAAUCCCGGGGCUCAACCCCGGAACUGCCUUUGAUACUGGAAGUCUUGAGUAUGGUAGAGGUGAGUGGAAUUCCGAGUGUAGAGGUGAAAUUCGUAGAUAUUCGGAGGAACACCAGUGGCGAAGGCGGCUCACUGGACCAUUACUGACGCUGAGGUGCGAAAGCGUGGGGAGCAAACAGGAUUAGAUACCCCCGUAGUCCCUGUCUCUUAUAA